rnacentral:rRNA from 1 species
AGCUCCAAUAGCGUAUACUAAAGUUGUUGCAGUUAAAAGCUCGUAGUUGGAUUUCUGCGCUGAGAGGGAGGCGCGUGCACAUUUCCGUGUUUUGCGUUGACUUCUCGUGCAUCCUGCCACGAUCCACGCUACUAUUCAGUUAGUGGUGUUGGGGAAUGGCUCGUUUACUUUGAGAAAAAUAGAGUGUUCAAAGCAGGUAAUUAGCCUUGAAUAAGUUAGCAUGGAAUAAUGAUAAAGGACUUCGGUUCUAUUUGUUGGUGUUCGGGACUGAAGUAAUGAUUGAUAGGGACAGUUGGGGGCAUCAGUAUUCCCAAGCGAGAGGUGAAAUUCUAGGACCUUUGGAAGACUAACUGCUGCGAAAGCGUUUGCCAAGGAUGUUCCCU